CCCCUAGAUGUUCUGGGCCGCACGCGCGCUACACUGAACAGUUCAACAAGUCUUAACCUUGGCCGAUAGGUCUGGGUAAUCUUUGAACGCUGUUCGUGAUUGGGAUAGACCUUUGCAAUUAUGGGUCUUCAACGAGGAAUUCCUAGUAAACGCAAGUCAUCAGCUUGCAUUGAUUACGUCCCUGCCCUUUGUACACACCGCCCGUCCCACCUACCGAUUGAAUGGUCCGGUGAAAUCUCGGGACGGCGGCUUGGUCGCUUGCGUCCGACUGCUGAAACUUGAUUAAACCAUAUCAUUUAGAGGAAGGUGAAGUCGUAACA
rnacentral:rRNA from 1 species